GACAGAGGUGCCGAGCGUUAGGCGGAAUCACUGGGCUUAAAGCGUGUGUAGGCGGCCCGUUAAGUGUCUUGUGAAAUCCCCCGGCUCAACCGGGGAACUGCUGGGCAUACUGGCGGGCUUGGGUCGCUCAGGGGCAGACGGAACAGGCGGUGGAGCGGUGAAAUGCGUAGAUAUCAGGAGGAAUACCGAUGGCGAAGGCAGGUCUCUGGGCUGACACUGACGCUCAUGCACGAAAGCGUGGGGAGCAAACAGG
rnacentral:rRNA from 1 species